UCGGAUAUGGUGUAACGGCUAACAUUGCCGCCUCUCAUGUGUACGGUUGACCAUGAUAGUUGCGCGGUAGCUCGGGGUUUGAUUCCCUGUAUCCGAA